rnacentral:sRNA from 1 species
UUCAUGCUUGAAGUUGAACAGAGGAGGGAAUGGACGACCAUUUGGCAGGCGUGCAUUGGGCUCUCGUAGCUCAUCAAAGAAGGAAUGUGCACAUGCAAAACUCACAGCAGUGCAGCGUAGACUUGGUGAAUAUUGGAGAAGACGGGAAGCAAGGUCUAUGGCUUCUGGAGGCAUUCUCUUAAAACAUGGCUACCUUGUGCCAAGGAUGAGCCUUAAUCUGAGGAAAUUUGAACUCAGUAUAGUUGGGGUUCAUGCAUCGUAUUUCCUCACGGGUUGGAGUACCAAGAACCUGCCAUAAUAUCAAGUUAACACAAGAAAUACCCUGACUAACCUGACCAAGAAGUAACUCUGCAAGAACGCAUCCAGCUGACCAUAUGUCAAUUGAAGUUGUAUACUCGGUUGCACCAAAUAUGAGCUCAGGAGCACGAUAAUAGCGAGAGCAAAUGUAUGAUAUGUUCGGUUCACCAGGAACCUGAACCUUUGCACUUCCAAAGUCACAUAGCUUGACUUGAUGACCUUGUUCACAUAAGUCAUACCAAAACAUUUUGUGGUUUCACAUCCCUGUGGCAGACUCCUGGAACAGUAUGAAUAUAAGCUAACCCUCUGAAAAGCUGCAAGCAUAGCAAAACUUCACAUAGAUCAAUGGCAUCCGCUGGUUAGCAUUGCUGUAGUGCUUGAGCACACGGUAGAGUGUCUCAGGGACGUACUCCAUAACAAGAUUCAGGAACAGCUCAUCCCUGCUUGUGGUUGAGAAGAAGCAGUGCUUCAGGCAGAUGACAUUGGGGUGUUCCAUUGCGCGCAUAAGCUGCAGUUCACGGUUCUUGUAACGCCGGUCCUGCAACACCUUCUUGAUGGCCACCGUUUCCCCCGUCUCCAAGCACUUAGCCUAAAUGUGAAAACUAAAUCAAACAGAAACCAAAAAGACCCCGAAAAAAGCUCACCCGCUUCGGCUCGCCGUUCUUGCCGCCGAUGGUGGUGGAGAUGAUGUGACCCGUCACGGCGUCGCCCCCGCC